GCAUAUCAAUAAGCGGAGGAAAAGAAACCAACAGGGAUUGCCCUAGUAACGGCGAGUGAAGCGGCAACAGCUCAAAUUUGAAAUCUGGCUUUCGGGCCCGAGUUGUAAUUUGUAGAGGAUACUUUUGAUGCGGUGCCUUCCGAGUUCCCUGGAACGGGACGCCAUAGAGGGUGAGAGCCCCGUCUGGUUGGAUGCCAAAUCUCUGUAAAGUUCCUUCGACGAGUCGAGUAGUUUGGGAAUGCUGCUCUAAAUGGGAGGUAUAUGUCUUCUAAAGCUAAAUAUUGGCCAGAGACCGAUAGCGCACAAGUAGAGUGAUCGAAAGAUGAAAAGCACUUUGAAAAGAGAGUUAAAAAGUACGUGAAAUUGUUGAAAGGGAAGCGUUUAUGACCAGACUUGGACUUGGUUAAUCAUCUGGGGUUCUCCCCAGUGCACUUUUCCAGUUCAGGCCAGCAUCAGUUUUCGCCGGGGGAUAAAGGCUUCGGGAAUGUAGCUCUCUUCGGGGAGUGUUAUAGCCCGUUGUGUAAUACCCUGGCGGAGACUGAGGUUCGCGCUUCUGCAAGGAUGCUGGCGUAAUGGUCAUCAACGACCCGUCUUGAAACACGGACC
rnacentral:rRNA from 1 species